rnacentral:misc_RNA from 1 species
AAAUGCGAUAAGUAAUGUGAAUUGCAGAAUUCAGUGAAUCAUCGAAUCUUUGAACGCACAUUGCGCCCGCCAGUAUUCUGGCGGGCAUGCCUGUUCGAGCGUCAUUUCAACCAUCAAGCCCCCGGCUUGUGUUGGGGACCUGCGGCUGCCCGCAGGCCCUGAAAAACAGUGGCGGGCUCGCUGUCACACCGAGCGUAGUAGCAUACAUUCUCGCUCAGGGCGUGCUGCGGGUUCCGGCCGUUAAACGACCUUCAUAACCCAAGGUUGACCUCGGAUCAGGUAGGAAGACCCGAUGAACUUAAGC